rnacentral:rRNA from 1 species
UACGUAGGGGGCAAGCGUUGUCCGGAAUUAUUGGGCGUAAAGAGCGUGUAGGCGGCUUGGUAGGUCUCGCGUCAAAACCUGAGGCUCAACCUCAGUUCGCGUGGGAAACCACCUAGCUAGAGUCCGGAAGAGGAGAACGGAAUUCCCAGUGUAGCGGUGAAAUGCGCAGAUAUUGGGAAGAACACCAGUGGCGAAGGCGGUUCUCUGGGACGGUACUGACGCUGAGACGCGAAAAGCGUGGGGGAGCGAACAGG